GGGCAAGGAAGACGCGCCGAGACCAGAUGCCACCCGGCCUGACACCCCCCACUUGGGUCUCCGUGGGCGCGCGCAGGCAGCCCCGCUCGCCGGCCCCAGGGCCCCGGCUGAAGGCCGCAGCUAGAGCCGCCCCCGUGCUCCCACCGCUUCUAGUCCCGCCACGGAGAUGCGAUCAGUAAGUUAGAGAAAAAGGAGACGCUACUCCAGCGACCCCGCCGCCGCCGCCGCCGCUCCCGAGGCCUCACCAAAAUGGCCGCCGCCUUCUCGGCCGCCACCGCCACUACCACCACUACCACCACCAAGGCUCGUUAUCGCUACCGCCGGAGCGGCCCGUCUUCUCGCGAUACACAGUAACUGGAGGCUGGAGGGGCGGGUAGGCUCGCGUGCUAGCGUAGGGCUCUUGUCUGGAGCGCAAAGCAAGAUGGGAGUUGUAGUCAGUUCCCCGGUUCCAUGCCUGCCCAGCACGCUUCGUCGCAUCUGAAACCACUGAAACCCGUGCUGCUUUGAAGCUGUACUGUGGGAACAUCCUUUGGGAGUUUUUAUUUUUGCAGAUCAGCCAGUGAAAUGAAACAAAUAAUUUUUGGA